CUCCGAGACGUGACGUCGCCUGAAACGUUCGAACCGUCUUACAGACUUAUAUCAAAGUUUUAAAAACAAAAUACAUUUGCAAGAAAAAAGCCAGUGCCCUCUUUUCAAAUGGCAAGAGCAACAGAAAGAACAGAGGAGGAACCCUAUGAAUGUGAGUUCAUGACAGUCUCUCACCAACAGCAUGAGGUCAGGCUGAGCAGCUCUGGGUGUGCUGGUUCCCAUUACAUUGGACACAUGGCUGUGCUGCUGUUCAGCUCAGCAGCCUUCCGAGUUUCACACCUGAGAUUUUACAGCAAAAUUAAGGGAAAUACCUCAUCCCCCCACCCCCACCCCACCGAUGUCUGUAAGUAUCCAUUUCUUUUAAAGCAAGAUUUACUAAGUAAAAUACAUGUGCAGCACAUUCUGCUAUUCCAAUACAUACAGUAG
rnacentral:lncRNA from 1 species